rnacentral:rRNA from 1 species
AUUGAACGCUGGCGGCAGGCCUAACACAUGCAAGUCGAGCGAGCGGCGGACGGGGGAGUAAUGUCUGGGAAACAGCCUGAUGGAGGGGGAUAACUACUGGAAACGGAAGCUAAUACCGCAUACCAUCAGAUGAGACCAGAUGGGAAUAGCUGGUAGGUGGGGUAACGGCUCACCUAGGCGACGAACCCUAGCUGGUCUGAGAGGAUGACCAGCCCCACUGGGACUGAGAAACGGUCCAGACGCGUACGGGGGGCAGCAGUGGGGAAUAGUGCACAAUGGGGGCAAACCUGAUGCAGCCAUGCCGCGUGUGUGAAGAAGGCCUUCGGGUUGUAAAGCACUUUCAGCGGGGAGGCGUUACCCGCAGAAGAAGCGCCGGCUAACUCCGUGCCAGCAGCCGCGGUAAUAC